CCAGACCUUCAGGUGCCUGCUGGGUCAAACACGUUAGGUAAAACAAGGCAGCGAGUCAACAUUCACUUAUGCAAUGUCAACAGUAGUUCAAAUAGGAAUGUAGCGAACAGAAAAAUCAUAAUCUAGAUUACUUAGUACAAGAGUAAAAGAGUGGAGGAACAGAAACUAUGAAUCAAUAUUUAGUUAGUUAUUUGUUAUACUUAUAGUGCACAGCGACAUACGCAUGAUACGAGCAAUGCAGAAUUAAAGCCACUUAAUCACAAUUAAGUACAUAUUAUUGAAGAUGUAUGUUCACACGAUAUAUUACCAUUGCUUUCGACAUAGGAAGAGCGGCCUCCUCUUCAUCUCCUUUCCUUCCUCCCCUUUCUUUCAAAUAUGCCUCACCCUUUAUUUUCCGUUCCGCAAGAUAUGCCCUGCUUGCUCUCUCAGUCUCCAGAACUGGUGGCAUGAUUUUAGUAACUGAAGCUGGACAAGAUGACAGGGAGUGAACUGAAUGAAUUGCCAAAAACCUAGAUUGUGUAAAAUAAUGUUAAACAUGCGACACUGCUAACAAGCAGUUCAUGUCAGAUUACAUAAACAGAAAAUGAAGAUUUCAUGCGUUGUGAUGUAACAAGUGAAGCAAGCAACAUGCAGGAUGUAACCGCGGCACUGUCAAGGAGAAGCAGCCAACAAGCCUAGAAAAACAAGACCAGGAAGUUCAGAACAAAAAACAACAAAAAUAAUAACAUUACUGUAGGUGCUGGCAUAGUUCAGAAAACCAGAAAGUUUACUAUACUCUUUCAAAACUAAGCCUCGAUGGAUGGUGCUCUAUGUUUCUAAACUAGGAGCAGCUUAUUCAAGGAGUGGACACUCCACUUACAACUAGACCUUUAUGUAGCAAGUUAACAAUCAGCUUGAUUUUACCAGUUUAGUAUGUCAGGAUACAGUCACAAACUGAAGUUUAAGAUUAUGCAUCUAAAGGAAAAUUGAAUGUUGGUCAAAGCUUAUUUUUCGAAACUUGCAAUGCAUCUCCCAAUUUCCAUGAAUUUAACUACCAUUGAAUCAUUUUUUCACCAAGAGACCAUGAUUCCUCAAGGAAAAAAUAAAGGAAAAGUCGUACUAGCUUGAAGUGUCGACAUAUGAGGAACAGAACAAUCCAAAAGGAACAAAUAAAUUUACAGUAACCAUAGGCAGCCAUGCAAAUAUUGUCUACAGAAAGGUAUGUCACUAGUGACUAAUUCCUGCGUCUCUGCACUGGAAAUCAUGCAAGUGUAAUCGAUGAUAAUGGAUCAUAAGACCCAAUGAAAUGUACAUCAACCAUCCUAACAUGCCAUGGUGUCUGGCAAAAAUUCAAAUCUUCACAGUACCUGUGCCUACUCAAAUAUACAAACACCAAAAUUCUAAUCUGGGAAAGCCCAUGAACAUCAUCUUCACACUAACAUAUAAUUUUCUAUAUGCAAGAGUAUCCAUACAAGCACAUACCAAACAAACAGCAUCUGUAAUACGGCAUCCGAACUGCCAUCAUGAUUACAUAUAUUUAAUUUAUAUAUACAAUGUAAAUAGUUAAUAAAGUUGUGAAAGAUAUGAGAACCAUCAAAAAUCUUACUCUGAUAUUCUCACCAUCGGUUUUCAUUCUGUAAGUGUGAAGCGGGAUAUAG
rnacentral:lncRNA from 1 species